GGGAAGUGGGCGGGAGGGACGGGGCUGCGGGGAGCGAAGCGACCGCUGAUUGGUGCGCGCGCCUCAUUCACAGUAAGCACAAUGGGCUGCGGGCGCGAGGCGGGAGCGCGCACCACGGUUCUCUGCACCCGCCGCUCGCUGCAGCCCCGCGGCGACGCCUUUCGCCCCGGGGAUCCCCCCACCGCCCAGCGCCUGGGGAGCUCCGGUUGGAGCCGUGGGCGCCGCCGAGGCCCGGCUGCAGCCGGAGGAAGGAGGGGGAUAGGGAGGUGAUGAAUUCCAGAAUCAGUCAUUCACCCCCACGCGAACCUUCUGUUGGAGGAAAUAAAAGCAAACACUGGGCCUUCUGCGCUGCCUCCACCUCCACGCCCCCCCAACCCCCCCGCGCCUGCCGCCCGCCCGGAUUGCACGGAAAUAGCUUCUCCAGGCUCCCGGGCCGCCCCUUCGCGGUGACUCGCAGAAAGAGCUUCCUGAGCCAGGGCCGGUGGGAAACAAAGGAUGUGGGGAGCGGGCGGAAGGGGCCCACGUGGCUGCCGCCGGAUUCCUACUCCCUCCCCAGCCUCCACACGCGCCGCAGGGUCUAGGGCCUGAGUGCCAACCUGGGUAGGUGGGUAGGCUGGUGGAAGUCAUUCUGGCCACUGCCAGAGAUACCGCCUGCACCCGGGCAGCCCUGCCUGGUGGUGCGCAUGCAUUCAUUCCGUGUGAUUUGGAAGAGCAUCAAAGUUGCGCGUGAAACAACUUGGAAUCUGUCAUUUUUCUUUCUUGAGUGAACCAGGUCAGUUUGGAGUCCCUGGGCACCCAACAAUAUAACUAUUAUUAGAGAGCCCUUACUUGUCCUUCUGCUAAAUACUUAAUUUUCUAAAACCAGGUCGAGCCCCAGGAAUAAAUCAUUUUCCUUAUUAAUUCUCCAUUCAUUCAACAAAUACUAAUUAAGCAUCUACCAAGAGCUAAACGCUGGGAAUUAGAAGGUGAAAAUUAAAAUAAUAAUAAUAGCUAACAUGAAUCGAGGCCUACAAUGUGUCGGACACUGUUCUUAGCACUUUAUAUGUAUUACUUCAGUUUUCCAACCACACUAUGGGGUUAUUUUUUGCCCCAUUUCACAGGGAAGAAACUGAAGCCUUAGAAGGAUGAAGUUAGGCCAAGCGUGGUGGCUCACGCCUGUAAUCCCAGCACUUUGGGAGGCUGAGGUGGGCAGAUCACCUGAGGUCAGGAGUUCAAGACCAAUCUGGCCAACAUGGUGAAACCCCGUCUCUACUACAAGUACAAAAAUUAGCUGGGUGUGGUGGCGCGCGCCUGUAAUCCCAGCUGCUGGGGAGGCUGAGGUGGGAGAAUCACUUGAACCUGGGAGACAGAGGUUGCAGUGAGCCGAGAUCGUGCCACUGCACUCCAGCCUUGGGGAGAAAGCAAGACUUAGUCUCAAAAAAUAAAAAAUAAUAAUAAUAAUAAUUUAAAAAAAGAACGAAAGAUGAAGUUACUUGCUGCGGUUAAGUAGCUCAUAAGGGGUGGUGCGGUCAAGCUCCUAAGCAUUUAUGGCGACUGGAAGGAGAGAUUACAAUUUGUAGGGGAAAACAGGAGUUAGGGAGGACUCUAGAAGGCAUUUGACCUGGGAGAUGUGCAGGGACUGUGAGGGAGUUGCUCAAGGGAGAGUAUGAAUGGUGGGAGGCCGGGCCAGACAAGGGGUGUGCGGAAGGGCAGGGCUAGCAGGCCAGAGAAACUACAAGGGUGGUGGGAGCUGAGCCUGCAGAGGUCUCCUGAGACAGUGUUGGGAAGGGCUUGAAAGCCAUGUUGCACUUGGUCCUGUGCCCAGAGGAGAGCCCACCGAAGAGUUAGUUAGUUAGUUUGUUUGUUUGUUUGUUUGUUUGUUUGUUUUGAGACAGAGUCUCCCUCCAUCGCCUAAGCUAGAGUGCAGUGACCCAAUCUCGGCCCACUGCAACCUCUGCCUCCCGGGUUCAAGUGAUUCUCCUGCCUCAGCCUCCCAGUAGCUGGGAUUACAGGCGCCCGCCACCAUGCCUGGCUGGCCACACCUCCUCUGGGGCUCCAGAGGAGACAGCCACUCCGCAUGGCUGCUGCGAUGUGCUCCCCAGAUCCCGCUGCCCAACUGGAGGAUCUGUUUCCCUGGCUGCUGGGAGUGCAUAUCAGGAGCUGUUUUGGAAAUUGCCUUGACUGAGAAGAGCCACUUUGCCGGAGGUCACACUCCCUUCCCAAGGGUCCACAUCCAGUGACUGCUGAUCAUGGAAGAAUAAAGGUCCCCUUGUCCCAACUUGGGCCACCUGUCCAAGGCAUCCCAGCUUCAGAGCUCCCAGAUUUAGGCCUUCCUAAAAUUGCAUCACAGCCCAGCUUUUUCCUCUGCCCAAUCCUGUUCCUUCCUCCCCCUCUUCCCACAGAAUCCUCUUGCAGGCUGGCCUGCAUCUCAGAGUCAGCUUCCUGGGGAGUUCAACCUGUGGCACCCCUUCUUCAUGGUCCGAGCUCACUCCAGGGACUCUGGCUUCUGGGAGCAGGUGAAACCACCUUUGUCCCUCCAGCCGUAGGGUGGCAGCAGCUUCCAGAUGUUGCUAAUCUCUGGGUGGCCCCCAGCACCAUGUUUUGUUCUGUUUUGUUUCUGCCCUUUCUAUGCCUUUGUAACUAGUUUUCUACAUAAAUUCUAUCCACU
rnacentral:lncRNA from 10 species